UACAGAGGUGGCAAGCGUUGUUCGGAAUUACUGGGCGUAAAGGGUUCGUAGGUGGCCUGCUAAGUCAGACGUGAAAUCCCUCAGCUUAACUGGGGAACUGCGUCUGAGACUGGUGGGCUUGAGUGCAGGAGAGGAACGCGGAAUUCCAGGUGUAGCGGUGAAAUGCGUAGAUAUCUGGAGGAACACCGGUGGCGAAGGCGGCAUCCUGGACCGGCAUUGACGCUGAGGCGCGAAAGCUAGGGGAGCAAACGGG
rnacentral:rRNA from 1 species